rnacentral:miRNA from 1 species
AAACAAAACAGAAGCAGUGCAGCUGCCGUAACCUCGUGGCACGCUUGGCUAAAACUGAUAUCACAGCGGCAUCCAGGGUGAUUCUCACCCUG